GCUAUACAUGCAGUCGAGCGGACAGAUGGGAGCUUGCUCCCUGAUGUUAGCGGCGGACGGGUGAGUAACACGUGGGUAACCUGCCUGUAAGACUGGGAUAACUCCGGGAAACCGGGGCUAAUACCGGAUGCUUGAUUGAACCGCAUGGUUCAAUUAUAAAAGGUGGCUUUUAGCUACCACUUACAGAUGGACCCGCGGCGCAUUAGCUAGUUGGUGAGGUAACGGCUCACCAAGGCGACGAUGCGUAGCCGACCUGAGAGGGUGAUCGGCCACACUGGGACUGAGACACGGCCCAGACUCCUACGGGAGGCAGCAGUAGGGAAUCUUCCGCAAUGGACGAAAGUCUGACGGAGCAACGCCGCGUGAGUGAUGAAGGUUUUCGGAUCGUAAAACUCUGUUGUUAGGGAAGAACAAGUACCGUUCGAAUAGGGCGGUACCUUGACGGUACCUAACCAGAAAGCCACGGCUAACUACGUGCCAGCAGCCGCGGUAAUACGUAGGUGGCAAGCGUUGUCCGGAAUUAUUGGGCGUAAAGCGCGCGCAGGCGGUUUCUUAAGUCUGAUGUGAAAGCCCCCGGCUCAACCGGGGAGGGUCAUUGGAAACUGGGGAACUUGAGUGCAGAAGAGGAGAGUGGAAUUCCACGUGUAGCGGUGAAAUGCGUAGAGAUGUGGAGGAACACCAGUGGCGAAGGCGACUCUCUGGUCUGUAACUGACGCUGAGGCGCGAAAGCGUGGGGAGCGAACAGGAUUAGAUACCCUGGUAGUCCACGCCGUAAACGAUGAGUGCUAAGUGUUAGAGGGUUUCCGCCCUUUAGUGCUGCAGCAAACGCAUUAAGCACUCCGCCUGGGGAGUACGGUCGCAAGACUGAAACUCAAAGGAAUUGACGGGGGCCCGCACAAGCGGUGGAGCAUGUGGUUUAAUUCGAAGCAACGCGAAGAACCUUACCAGGUCUUGACAUCCUCUGACAACCCUAGAGAUAGGGCUUCCCCUUCGGGGGCAGAGUGACAGGUGGUGCAUGGUUGUCGUCAGCUCGUGUCGUGAGAUGUUGGG
rnacentral:rRNA from 2 species